rnacentral:rRNA from 1 species
UGAGGAAUAUUGGUCAAUGGUCGAAAGGCUGAACCAGCCAUCCCGCGUGCAGGAUGAAGGAGCUCUGCUUUGUAAACUGCUUUUUUAGGGGAAGAAAAAAACUUUUCGUAAGUUCUUGCCGGUACCCUAAGAAUAAGCACCGGCUAACUACGUGCCAGCAGCCGCGGUAAUACGUAGGGUGCAAGCGUUAUCCGGAAUUAUUGGGUUUAAAGGACGCGUAGGCGGUUACUUAAGUCAGGGGUGAAAGUUUGCAGCUCAACUGUAAAAUUGCCUUUGAUACUGGGUUGACUAGAGAGGUUUCGACGUGGAUGGAAUGUGUGGUGUAGCGGUGAAAUGCGUAGAUAUCACACGGAACACCAAUUGCGAAGGCAGUUCACGAGAAAAACUCUGACGCUCAGGC